AUUUUUUUUUGUCAUUCUGUUCCAGAAUGUUUUCAAAUGGAGUUUUUUUUAAGCGUUUUGCUUGCAAUUGCUGCAUGAUGUGUCUUAAUUGGAAGAACUGAGAAAGCUGGUGGCUUUUGCUGCUUGUUCAUGUGAUAGUGUUCAAACCAGGUACUGUACUUUUAACAGAUUAUCGAAUGAGGAUGGUAUCCAAAUCAUCUAAAUCCAUCCAUUUCUGCUUGCUUCAUUCAGUUAUUAGGAAGGAGAGAGAAAAAUGUUGCGCUGCACACUGAAACUAUGCUCAGCUCUCUCCCCAGCAUAACUUCAGAAGUGGCACAUUCAUGCUUGCCUGUGCUCAAUCUUACGGACUAGAAACUUGGGUUUAAAAACCAACAAGAAAUUGAAAGCUGAGAUGAUUUGAAUGCUGAAUUACACACCAAAAGGCACUUGCCUGAGGUUCGUGCAGUGAACUAUGGAACAAUUAUACACACAGCUCUGGGUAUGUGGCAAGACUCCAACUAUAUCAAUAAACACAUCACCUGUAUCCUGUAUGAAAAAGAAUUGGCUGAUGCUUUGCUUUGAUGUUUGUUUUGCCCCCAUGAUGCAGCUGGCUGUGUGUAUGUGUGCAUGGGGAAAGUGGGAGGGGGGGGACUGGUCUGCGCUGCCUCCUGUUGCUUACAAUAAGCCAUUUCCCAUACAUGUCAUCUCCAAAGCAGAGGGGAUAGAGAGGAGGGAAGACCAUAUGGAAGCAGAACAAAGAAAACAGAACAAAAAAGAAAUCGGGGAAACUUUCAAAAAGUCCAUUUGAUGUGCAAGUAUAAACAGGAAAAUGAUGCCUCGGGACUCGGGAGCCAGGAAUUGCACCAUCAGACAGCUGUUAGCUUAUGUUGUUUAAUACCACAGUGAGACCCAGUGCAACUGUGUUUUUUCAGGCUUUCUGGCUUCUUGGGGAGUCCUUUGCACGUCAACCUGUCUCUCAAGGAACCCCUAAUCAGGGGUGUAGGAUGGAGGGGGGUGACAAAUUAUCAAGGAACAAUUACUGCCCUACUAGGGCAGUUCAUAAAAAACUUUUUUUAAAAAAUGCCUGCUCCAAAGGUCUUAUUUUACUACACUAGGGAUUAUAUAGCUAUAGAUGAAAUUUCAUACAUAUCAGUUAACAUCUUGACCCUCCUCCACGAAAAUAGCUGUUUACUUUGCCGUUUUCCUAUGUCGUGAAGGCUGAAAUUUCAAUUCUGUGGAGCACUUACUGUCCCCAACCCUAACCCUGUGGAAAGCCAUCUAAUUAGAUUUAAUUUGAUUUUGACAUGUUUUUAGGAGGUAAAUUAAUUAUUGUUUGAUUUUAUACCAAUGUUAUGUAUCUGAUGUUGGC